GGGGAUGUAGCUCAGUGGCAUAAGUGCCUACCUGGAAAGUGCAAGGUCCUAAGUUUGAUUCUUGGUACCCCCC
rnacentral:tRNA from 1 species